rnacentral:rRNA from 1 species
CCUACGGGCGGCUGCAGUGGGGAAUAUUGGACAAUGGGCGAAAGCCUGAUCCAGCCAUGCCGCGUGUGUGAAGAAGGCCUUCGGGUUGUAAAGCACUUUCAGUGGGGAAGAAAGCCUUGGGGCUAAUACCCUCGAGGAAGGACAUCACCCACAGAAGAAGCACCGGCUAACUCCGUGCCAGCAGCCGCGGUAAUACGGAGGGUGCGAGCGUUAAUCGGAAUUACUGGGCGUAAAGCGCGCGUAGGCGGUCUGAUAAGCCGGUUGUGAAAGCCCCGGGCUCAACCUGGGAACGGCAUCCGGAACUGUCAGGCUAGAGUGCAGGAGAGGAAGGUAGAAUUCCCGGUGUAGCGGUGAAAUGCGUAGAGAUCGGGAGGAAUACCAGUGGCGAAGGCGGCCUUCUGGACUGACACUGACGCUGAGGUGCGAAAGCGUGGGUAGCAAACAGGAGUAGAUACCCGAGUAGUC